UCUAAAAAGCUUCCUUUUGUUUUGAAGAUAAUAUAUAACCCACUGGGAGUCCACUACUUUCCUGUGGAAUGACUUUCUGCUAACUGAGUAGCUUUUCCUCAUAGCUAGAUAGAAGAUUGUAGAUUUACAAUAUUUGCAGUGAUGGGAUUCAUCCCUUUGGUUUCUUGACGGGUUUAAUCUUGGGAUCAUAAAAUGUGUGAUUUUUACUCUAUAUUAUCUAAUACUCUGUUUGGAUAGAAGAAUCAUGAGGCAAUAAUGUUUUGCUACACAGCUUCGAUUUUUACAGCUAGUACACGAACCAUAUCAUAUUACUUGACUUUAGCACCUCAUAUCUCUUAUAGAACUUCUUCUUAUUGUGGAUGUAAUUUGUUGCUUUUUCUUUAAUAGUUGGAAUGAGAUUUUGUCCCUUGUUGUGAAUCAAGUUCUCUAUGAAUUGAAUGAAUAUCAGUAGUCAUUUUAUUUGUUUCCUGCUUCUUUCCUUUUUUAUCAUCUACUGGUUUUAGCUAAAAGGCCUAAAGAAUAGGUAAGGUCCUUCAAUGGCUCCUUCAAUGGCUAAUAAAACAUCAACGUUUUAGCUUGUUCAAAGAAUGUGGUCAUCUUGUUCAGCGUGGAACUCCUGUCUGUGAAUGGUGACCGAUGUCUCUUUAUAUUGGACUUUAUUGGCAUGUGGAAUUUUGAAUAGCUGGCAAGUUAAUUAAUUAUCACAAGAUAUGCAAUAGAAGUUACUAUUUCCUUAGUGCCUGGAGUUAUACUCUUCGGAACAAUUAACUAAUACUUGGCGGAAGCUUCACUCUGAAGUUACUGGUAAAAUUGUUCUGAAGCAGAUGAAUGAAAUCCUGCUUCUCCUAUUAACCUCAUAAGUCGUAGGAACAGUCUAUUUAUUUUUCGAUUAAGAUUUGUCAAGUGUCACUAUCUUUUUCUCGCAGUGUACUCUGAACAACAAAAAUUUAGCACCGACUGAAGAUUAUUCAAAGAAUGUGAUAUAGUUUGGAAUCUGGAAGGAUUAUAAAAUGUCAAUCAUCACAGUGUUCUGAAAUGUCACAAUCCUGCUAACAUGCAUAUGCAGAAACCUUUUGAAGAAGCAACAUGUGCUUUAAAGAUUUGUGAUUGGCGAUACUAUGAACAGGGUAGAUGUCGUUGACUUUGGAAGCGUAGGUGCUACUGCCAUUACACAUCCAAAGAGGAGAUGGCUACCGAGGGGGGUGAUACCCCUGGGUUGGAACAUUGAUGAUGUGCCCUUGGUGGGUUAGAUACCAACUACAACUAUACAUCAGAAAGAGGAGACAGUUGAGAAGAUUGACCCUGCUAGGCAGGUAGGGGUGAAUGUUUGAGCGGAGGUCUGUUGUCCCACUGCUGGUAAAGGGAUCUAGCAUACCAUCUUCUUCAAGGGGACCGCGCAGUCCUCUUAUUGAGCACGUUGAUAUUGUGAUCAAUUCAGAUCCUUCAACAGCAGAUCCUUAUUGAGGCAACUUCCCUCCCCAGGUGUCUUACACAUCCACUUUGGAUGGGACUGGGAUUUCUGAGGUGCCUCCAGUUGGAGAUGCGAGGGGCUAUUUCCACUGUUUUCUUGUGCUGGAGUGUUAUGAUUGUUGCCUUCCCAGGGUUCAUGUAAAGGAUGGUGAGUUCUGGAGUGGUGUUCCUGUCCCUGAACCUCGUUAGGUUGUUUUUAUUCCUGACAUACCUGGAGAGGCUCGGGCUAUUGGUUGUUUUUAUGUAUUAUCCAGAGUGUAGGGAUCUGGGUGUCGGAAUUGAUUCUCUAGCGAAUGUGCUGGGGAGAUUUAGGAAGGUGUUGGAGUCCUUUGAUCUGGGCAGGAGGAUUGAUGAGCUCAAGGAGCAGAAGGCUAUCAUUAUAGUGGGGGAAUCCAACAUUGAGAGAGAGUUGUGGUGGGAUCUCAGUAGUAUUGACAAGUUGAUGUCUCGGAGCCUUGUUUCUUGGUAGGACCUUUGGUAAAACUACUUGUUGGACUAUCUAUCAGUUUGUGCGACUAUUUUUUGCUUUAUGGGGUCAUAUAAUGCUCUGUAGUAGUUGUUGAUAUUUUCUCAAUCCAAAUCAUUCAAGCUCCUGUAUCUGUUUCUCAGUAUAUAUACUUCCCUGAUGUGGUUUUUUCAA